UUGUUUGCAGGUGUAGCAUCUUCAAGAUUCACAUCCAAAUGAACGGUGGUGAUGUUGAUGAUGAUGUAAUUAAUCAUCUCUCUAUCUCUGCCUGUCUCUGUUUUUUUCAAGUAGUUGAUGAGAAUCUUGAUGAUGCUGCAUCAGCAAUAAG
rnacentral:pre_miRNA from 1 species